GACGAACGCUGGCGGCGUGCUUAACACAUGCAAGUCGAACGGAAAGGCCCUGCUUUUGUGGGGUGCUCGAGUGGCGAACGUGUGAGUAACACGUGAGUAACCUGCCCUUGACUUUGGGAUAACUUCAGGAAACUGGGGCUAAUACCGGAUAGGAGCUCCUGCUGCAUGGUGGGGGUUGGAAAGUUUCGGCGGUUGGGGAUGGACUCGCGGCUUAUCAGCUUGUUGGUGGGGUAGUGGCUUACCAAGGCUUUGACGGGUAGCCGGCCUGAGAGGGUGACCGGCCACAUUGGGACUGAGAUACGGCCCAGACUCCUACGGGAGGCAGCAGUGGGGAAGAUUGCACAAUGGGCGGAAGCCUGAUGCAGCAACGCCGCGUGCGGGAUGACGGCCUUCGGGUUGUAAACCGCUUUCGCCUGUGACGAAGCGUGAGUGACGGUAAUGGGUAAAGAAGCACCGGCUAACUACGUG
rnacentral:rRNA from 1 species